CUUACAGAAGAAGCGAAAGAUGGCGGGUCAAAGGUCACGCAGCCCCACCCAGUGGCGUGUUUGUUUUAUCUGGACAGACGGGAGGAGACGCCCAGGGUGAUGGGUGAUGGUGAUUGUGGACGUCGUGGUGGUGGUCAGUGGAUGUUCACAGCAAACAACACGUUGCCAUGCAGGACAGCCCUGGCUGUUGGAACCUGGAUGUGAGAGCUAAAUUGAAAGUUGACCGACUGGUGUUUAGUAGACACUUUAUAUCCAAGAGGACACAGACUUGCAGCAGUGGAUUUGAGAAUCGAACGAAUCGGUCAACUGAUUGUUGGCUGGUGAUGUGCAUCAGCAGCAUAGUGACGGCCUGUUCCAGCCCCACCUCAGUCUGAGGUGGAGGAAGAGAUGGAGUGAGCUGGAGGAGAUCAUGACCACUGCAUGUGUUUACCCAAAUAAACAGGCAACAAUGAGGGGAACUUCCCGUUAUGUCUCCGGCUGCGAGGAACGACUGAUAACAGAGGAGGACAGCUGAUGUCAGAGUGACAUCAGAGUGUUCCGCCCAGCCUCUCUAAGACGUGUCACCCUGAGCAAGACGUCUGCAGAUGUAAUGGGAGAUAACAGAAGAGAACUUCACUUCACACACGCGCCUACGCACGCACGCACGCACGCACGCACGCACACAUACACACACUCACUCUCUCACUCUCUGAUUAACUAACAUUUCCUGGGCAAAUGUGAUACCAACACCAGAGCUACAAGUGAAAAACUGAAAACUCAGUCUGCAUCUUUUUUUUAAUGACCAAAAUGGACAGAAUGGAAUUCAGUUAGAGAAAUUAAAAUGAACGAUUCAAUGUACAAUUAUUAAUUUAUGUUAAAUAAUUGAUCUGACAUCAUCCAAGAUCGACUGAAUAGGGUACUAGAUUGUAUGCCUUUACAACAGUGUGUUGUUGUGAAAAUGGAAUUGCUUGACAUGGUGCCGUUUCUCAGUGAGUCCUUUUUCUGAGUUACUGCAGACAAAUAAUAAUAAAUAAAUAAAUAAAUAAUCCCCCUCGCUGGGA